AUUGAACGCUGGCGGCAUGCUUUACACAUGCAAGUCGAACGGUAACAGGGAGCUUGCUCCGCUGACGAGUGGCGAACGGGUGAGUAAUGCGUCGGAACGUGCCGAGUAGUGGGGGAUAACGCAUCGAAAGGUGUGCUAAUACCGCAUACGAACUGAGGUUGAAAGUGGGGGACCUUCGGGCCUCACGCUAUUCGAGCGGCCGACGUCUGAUUAGCUAGUUGGUGAGGUAAAGGCUCACCAAGGCGACGAUCAGUAGCGGGUCUGAGAGGAUGGUCCGCCUCAGUGGGAUUGAGACACGGCCCAGGCUCCGACGGGAGGCAGAAGGGGGGAAUUUUGGACAAUGGGCGCAAGCCUGAUCCAGCCAUGCCGCGUGUCUGAAGAAGGCCUUCGGGUUGUAAAGGACUUUUGUCCGGGAGCAAAUGCUGGUGGCUAACAUCCACCGGAGCUGAGAGUACCGGAAGAAUAAGCACCGGCUAACUACGUGCCAGCCGCCGCAGUAAUAC
rnacentral:rRNA from 1 species